rnacentral:rRNA from 1 species
CGGGGUGGAGUAAUGUCUGGGAAACGUCUCGAUGGAGGGGGAUAACUGCUGGAAACGGUAGCUAAUACCGCAUAACGUCGCAAGACCAAAGAGGGGGACCUUCGGGCCUCUUGCCAUCGGAUGUGCCCAGAUGGGAUUAGCUAGUAGGUGGGGUAACGGCUCACCUAGGCGACGAUCCCUAGCUGGUCUGAGAGGAUGACCAGCCACACUGGAACUGAGACACGGUCCAG